rnacentral:rRNA from 1 species
CUAGCGACUUCAGAGUUUGAUCCUGGCUCAGGAUGAACGCUGGCGGCGUGCUUAACACAUGCAAGUCGAACGGAGUUUUAUCAAUUGAUUGAUUAAGCUUGCUUUUGAGAGAUUUUGAUAAAACUUAGUGGCGGACGGGUGAGUAACGCGUGGGUAACCUGCCGUAUACAGGGGGACAACAGUUGGAAACGACUGCUAAUACCGCAUAAGCGCACGGUACCGCAUGGUACAGUGUGAAAAACUCCGGUGGUAUACGAUGGACCCGCGUCUGAUUAGCUAGUUGGUGAGGUAACGGCCCACCAAGGCGACGAUCAGUAGCCGGCCUGAGAGGGUGGACGGCCACAUUGGGACUGAGACACGGCCCAA